rnacentral:rRNA from 1 species
GAUAGAAACUAAACAGGAUUCCCUCAGUAAUGGCGAAUGAACAGGGAUUAGCUCAGCAUGGAAAUUGGGGCCUUUUGGCUUUGAAUUGUAGUUUCGAAAUGUACUGCCAACGGAGGCGCAGAUGUAAGCCUCUUGGAAAAGAGCAUCAACGAGGGUGAGAGUCCCGUUUGUCAUCUGCAGUCCCCCGUGUACGGUGUACCUUCUAAGAGUCACGUUCCUUGGAACUGGAGCGCAAAGGUGGUGGUAAAUUUCAUCUCAAGCUAAAUAUUGGUUCGAGACCGAUAGCAAACAAGUACCAUGAGGGAAAGGUGAAAAGGACUUUGGAAAGAGAGUUAAAAGUGCCUGAAAUUGCUGAAAGGGAAGCGAAUGGAACCAGUGUUGCUUGGUGAGAUUGCCGCGUGCUAACGUGAUACCUUGCUGCAUCAAUGCAAGUGUUGCAGUGCGUGUUGAUCGGGAUGUGCGUGGUGUCUCUUGCCUUGUGUGUCAGCACCAGUUUGCAAUCGAGGAAAACUCCAAGGACAUGGUAGUUUGCCCCCGGGUGAGCGAAUGUGUCUGGUUAGAACUCGUUUGUGAAUUGAUUCAGGAGUGUCUGGUUGCAGUGCCCUGUGUCAUCGGCUCCUUCUCCGAAUGGUGCCGUCGACUUGGGUAAAUCCCUAACAUGCAGAUGAGGACAACAUGGUUCUAUUCGACCCGUCUUGAAACACGGACCAAGGAGUCUAACAUAUGUGCGAGUUCACGGGUGGGUUAACCUGCUUGCGCAAUGAAAGUGACUGCUGGGAUCUCUGCACCAGCAACCGACCAAUCAAUUGAGAGAGGUUCGAGUAUGAGCAUAUCUGUUAGGACCCGAAAGAUGGUGAACUAUGCCUGAGAAGGGCAAACUCAGGGGAAACUCUGAUGGAGGCUCGUAGCGAUACUGACGUGCAAAUCGUUCGUCAUACUUGGGUAUAGGGGCGAAAGACUAAUCGAACCAUCUAGUAGCUGGUUCCCUCCGAAGUUUCCCUCAGGAUAGCUGGAGUUGAACAGUUUUAUCAGGUAAAGCGAAUGAUUAGAGGAAUCGGGGUCGCGUUGUCCUCGACCUAUUCUCAAACUUUAAAUGGGUAAGAUCCAGUGGUUGCUUGGGUGAACUUCUGGGAUAAAUGACAACUCUAAGUGGGCCAUUUUUGGUAAGCAGAACUGGCGAUGAGGGAUGAACCUAACGUUGGGUUAAGGUGCUUAACUUCUCGCUCAUCAGAUACCAUAAAGGGUGUUGGUUCAUUUUAACAGCAGGACGGUGGUCAUGGAAGUCGAAAUCCGCUAAGGAGUGUGUAACAACUCACCUGCCGAAUGGACUAGCCCCGAAAAUGGAUGGCGCUCAAGCGGGUGACCGAUACCCAACCAUUGUUGCAACUGUGCUGCAUCAAUGAGUAGGAGGGCAUGGGGGCUUGUGAUGAAGCUCUUGGCGUAAGCCUGGGUGAAACGGCUCCUAGUGCAGAUCUUGGUGGUAGUAGC